rnacentral:rRNA from 1 species
AGAGUUUGAUCAUGGCUCAGAACGAACGCUGGCGGCAGGCCUAACACAUGCAAGUCGAACGAGAAGCUCAGAGCUUGCUCUGAGUGGAAAGUGGCAGACGGGUGAGUAACGCGUGGGAAACUACCCAGUAGUACGGAACAACAGUUGGAAACGACUGCUAAUACCGUAUACGCCCUAAGGGGGAAAGAUUUAUCGCUAUUGGAGGUGCCCGCGUUGGAUUAGCUUGUUGGUGAGGUAACGGCUCACCAAGGCGACGAUCCAUAGCUGGUCUGAGAGGAUGAUCAGCCACACUGGAACUUAGACACGGUCCAGACUCCUACGGGAGGCAGCAGUGGGGAAUCUUGCACAAUGGGCGAAAGCCUGAUGCAGCCAUGCCGCGUGAGUGAAGAAGGCCCUAGGGUUGUAAAGCUCUUUCGUCGGUGAAGAUAAUGACGGUAGCCGAAGAAGAAGCCCCGGCUAACUCCGUGCCAGCAGCCGCGGUAAUACGGAGGGGGCAAGCGUUGUUCGGAAUUACUGGGCGUAAAGCGCGCGUAGGCGGAUUGUUAAGUCAGGGGUGAAAUCCUGGGGCUCAACCUCAGAACUGCCCUUGAUACUGGCAAUCUAGAGUCCGGAAGAGGUGAGUGGAAUUCCCAGUGUAGAGGUGAAAUU